GAACAUCGAAAUCUUGAUGUUGCCAGAUGCUGUCCUGUCUGAAAUUCUACUUCACGUGGUCCUUGAGGAGGGUGAUUCCGGAUUGUUAAAUCUGUCUUUAGUUUGUUCUAAAUUCAGAAUUCUGGUGGAUACAGACUCAUUUAGGAGGAGGGCACACUUCUGCUGGCUUGACAGUGUAACAAAUUGGAGAGAGAAGACAUGUCAAGAAUAUUAUCAGAUGUACACACUGCAGCCCUGCAAUGACAUUUACAAGAACUG